rnacentral:tRNA from 1 species
AGCAAAGUGCCUGAUAAAAGGCCUAUCUUGAUAGGAUAGUUCACGUAGUUGCCUACCUUUGCUA